GUUGAACGCUGGCGGCAUGCCUUACACAUGCAAGUCGAACGGCAGCACGGGGCAACCUGGUGGCGAGUGGCGAACGGGUGAGUAAUGCAUCGGAACGUACCUUUCAGUGGGGGAUAACGUAGCGAAAGUUACGCUAAUACCGCAUAUUCUGUGAGCAGGAAAGCAGGGGAUCGCAAGACCUUGCGCUGAUUGAGCGGCCGAUGUCAGAUUAGCCAGUUGGUGAGGUAAAGGCUCACCAAGGCGACGAUCUGUAGCGGGUCUGAGAGGAUGAUCCGCCACACUGGAACUGAGACACGGUCCAGACUCCUACGGGAGGCAGCAGUGGGGAAUUUUGGACAAUGGGGGCAACCCUGAUCCAGCCAUGCCGCGUGAGUGAAGAAGGCCUUCGGGUUGUAAAGCUCUUUCGGCCGGGAAGAAAUCGCACGGGCUAAUACCCUGUGUGGAUGACGGUACCGGAAUAAGAAGCACCGGCUAACUACGUGCCAGCCGCCGCCGUAAUAC
rnacentral:rRNA from 1 species